UACGAAGGGAGCUAGCGUUGUUCGGAAUCACUGGGCGUAAAGCGCACGUAGGCGGAUUUGCCAGUCAGGGGUGAAAUCCCGGGGCUCAACCUCGGAACUGCCUUUGAUACAGCAAGUCUUGAGUUCGAGAGAGGUGGGUGGAAUUCCUAGUGUAGAGGUGAAAUUCGUAGAUAGUUAGGAAGAACACCGGUGGCGAAGGCGGCCCACUGGCUCGACACUGACGCUGAGGUGCGAAAGCGUGGGGAGCAAACAGGAUUAAGAUA
rnacentral:rRNA from 1 species